UUACUGCAUCCUUAAUUUUCUUUGGGAUCGGUUCAGAUUGGGAAGUCAGUUCCUGUAACAGAAAAAAUUGAAGCUUCCACAUAUUUAGGCUCAGGGAUUUUCAUGUGAAUGUACCCCUCUCGAUACUUGAUUGCAUUCAAUUUUUCAAGUAAAUUUCCUCCCAAAAAAUAAUUUCUAAGGUUGGGCAAGUACAAAAAAUGAUGGGCUCUCCGUAAUUUUCCCGGUUUGAAUGUCACUGGAUUGAAAAAGGGACACAUUUCUCAAGUCCCAGUGGCACUGACAGUUGUGAUGGAAUCAUCACUUAACUUCCCUUGCAGGGUAUUUAAUACAGAAGAACCAGCUCCUGUGCCUAUCAAAAAUUCCAGUUUUCCACUUCCCAGUGUGGCUGUUACCACAGGCUCUGCUGGGGAUGAAACCUCUGCUCCCCUCCACAGGUACCCAGCCAUUGGCAUGAGGGGGUUUGGAGAAGUCCUGGGUUUUAGGCAGAUGAGAUAUAACCGGGACAAGCCCCCACAGUGCUCUCACCCUGGUGCUUGCACCCCGGUGCUCACACCCCCAGCGUGGAGCUGCUCAUUCCCAGCCUUGUCCAGAGGCUGGUCCAUUCCAGGGGGUGUCCUAAAUCCAUUCAGUGCCUGCUUCUUGGCCAAGUGUCUGUAAGUUUGCUUUGGAAGUGCCUUCCCUUGUGUGACUCCAUUCUUUCUGCACUGCUGCGUCCCCAGAACUUGUUUUCAAGGCCCAGGACAGCGUCCCAGGCAGUGACAUGGCACACAGUGUAUGUUUGCAGUCAUCCAGUGCUUGUUUUCACCACCACAGGCUCACAGCCCUUGCUGUGGUGGGUUUGGGAUACAGUCAGUCUGCCAGGCCUACCCAUACUUGUAUUCCAGCCCUUGUGAACAAAACCGUCCCUCAAGAGAUUUUUGAUUUGGGAGGUCAAAAACUCUUUAAUUUGAUAUUUCUGGGCGCAAAUCCUCCCUAAAUGUGUGUUUCUCAGCUCCCUAGAUUGGUGUUUCAGACCAAAAUAUCUUCAAAUGUGUGUUUCGCAACUCCAAAUCUCUCCAAGUUGCUGUUUCUGAGUUCAGAAUACCCCUAAAUUGCUUUCUGUGAGACUCAGAGCUCCUUAGGCUUUUUCCUACAGCCAAAACUCUUUCAAAAUCAGUGUUCUAGAGCCACAGAGCCCAGAGCCCCCCCAAAUGACCUUGUUCAGCUCCAAAGCUCCUCACAUCACUAUCACAGCACCCAAGCUAAUGAAGUGGACGCUUUCUAAGCAGUGAAGUUCCCAAAAUCAGUGUUCCAAAGCCCUCAUGCCCCAACUCAAGCCACGUGCCCUGUUUGCCAUCAGGGCGUGGGGUUCACUCCCAGUGCUCCCAGUCCCCUCCCAGUGCAUUCCCAGUGCCCUGGGAUGCCUUCAGGAGCAGGGACUGGCCGCUGGCUGUGCUGAUUUUCCUCCCCCGCCCCCAUCCAAGGAGCCAACCCCUGCUCAGAGCAUUUUCAAUUUCAGUGUUCCAGGCAUUUACAGGAAAUCAGUGUAAAGCCAAGAAGGGAAGUGCUGGGGGGAGGAGGGAGCAGCCCGUGGGGGUGGGAAU